CACAGUGGACUGCGUCGGAGCACAUACAGCCGACACUUUGACUGGUCUAAUGAGUAACGAUGCAUGUCGACUUGAUGAUGUACAGAAUAGACUCGGAUAUCGUCAAACUCUGCAUGAAUGAUUUGACGAUAAGUGUCGAUCAUGGUUCCAUAUCUCAGAAGCGAUUGUGUACUUUGUGGCGGGUUCCUGAUUGUCGCGGCACUUUCCGGCCAAUGAAAAUACUUACCUAACUUACAUAGUUCAGGUGUCGAUACGCUUAUGUUUCUAUUUGGACAGCGAGAGCUACCAUUGAGCAAUCAGUUCGGCUUUCUUUGGAAUGUCGCGGGAGAGGCGUCUUUCAAGUUUCAACCAUCGUAGCGACGGUCCCGAGGUUG
rnacentral:lncRNA from 1 species